AGGCAAAUCCCAAAAAAAUAGNGUCCCAGUUCGGAUUGUAGUCUGCAACCCGGCUACAUGAAGCUGGAAUCGCUAGUAAUCGCAGAUCAGAAUGCUGCGGUGAAUACGUUCCCGGGUCUUGUACACACCGCCCGUCACACCAUGGGAGUCGGAAAUGCCCGAAGUCGGUGACCCAACCGUUUACGGAGGGAGCUGCCGAAGGCAGGUCUGGUGACUGGGGUGAAGUCGUAACAAGGUAAC
rnacentral:rRNA from 1 species